rnacentral:rRNA from 1 species
AGUGAACGCUGGCGGUAGGCCUAACACAUGCAAGUCGAACGGCAGCACAGUAAGGGCUUGCUCUUACGGGUGGCGAGUGGCGGACGGGUGAGGAAUACAUCGGAAUCUACUUUUUCGUGGGGGAUAACGUAGGGAAACUUACGCUAAUACCGCAUACGACCUACGGGUGAAAGCAGGGGAUCUUCGGACCUUGCGCGAUUGAAUGAGCCGAUGUCGGAUUAGCUAGUUGGCGGGGUAAAGGCCCACCAAGGCGACGAUCCGUAGCUGGUCUGAGAGGAUGAUCAGCCACACUGGAACUGAGACACGGUCUAGACUCCUACGGGAGGCAGCAGUGGGGAAUAUUGGACAAUGGGCGCAAGCCUGAUCCAGCCAUACCGCGUGGGUGAAGAAGGCCUUCGGGUUGUAAAGCCCUUUUGUUGGGAAAGAAAAGCAGCAGGUUAAUACCCCGCUGUUCUGACGGUACCCAAAGAAUAAGCACCGGCUAACUUCGUG